GAAGAGUGGAGCGGUACGUCCGUUGCUCCGGCGAUGCUUAGUCACAUCCCUCCGGCUUGUCGAUGUCCGAUGAUGAAGAUGUCUGGCCUCGUCAGCUCAGACAGAUGGUCGGCCUUCGCCUCGUCGGUGCCCGGCCUGGUGGUGUCCGCCUCGUCGGUGUCAGACACGGUCUUGCCUUCGCCUCGUCGGUGCCCGGCAAGAUAUGGAUAG
rnacentral:rRNA from 1 species